CGUUUCCAGCUGCUGUGUCAUGAUGCCAGGCAUUGUCCCAGGUGGCUUCCAGCCCCAGUGCCAGUCCCAGUUCCCAGGGCCAUGAUGCCAAGAUUGGGCUUGGUGUAGGGCCCUGGGCAUGACUGGGGCACAGCGUGAAGGGUUUCAUGGGACAUGGGACUAAAGACAUGAAACAUGGGACAUGGGGCAUAUAGGACAUGACACAGGGUGCAGGGUGUGGUAUAGGACACAGGACAUGACCUUGAGCAUGGCACAGGACACGGAACAGGACACAGGGACAGGGGACAUGAUUUUGGAGCAUGGUACCUGCCCCAGCCCGUGAUGCAUGAGUUCCUGUGCCCACAUGUGCCCCACACGUCACCUGCCACCCCCCCUGCGGCACCACCAUGUUCUCACCGGUGUCCCUCCUGCCUGCUGGGUACAGUUUGGUGGCCUCGGAUGUGGCCUUCCCAGUGUGGGUCCUGCUCUGCCACAAGCCCUGGGGACAUCAUCCCUGCCCAGUGGCACCAGGUGUCUAUCCAUCGGCGAUAACUGGGACAAGUCCCACACGGUGGCAUCAGGUGGCACCUGUGCCACUGGCAGCAGAGAUGUCUACAAGGGGGUAACUGAAGGGACAGAACAGGGUGCAGGUGCUCACAGUGUCCCUGUCAUCCACAGGGGGUGGUGAUCAGGGGUGUCAGGAUGAGGUGGUCAUAGAGGUGCCACCAGGGGUGUGGUGAUACCAAGGCACACAUGGCCAUGGAAGUGCCGCCGCAGGUGCUGGAAUGCCCGUGGAGAUGCCACCACGAGCACGGCAGUGCCAGGGGACACAUUAGUCUAUGGUGUGGCAAUGCUGGUGGGCAUGGCAGUGACAGGCCAGGCGUGGGGCCAGGCUGGGGUGGCUCCGUGCCCACCCCAUGGGUGGCCCUGCUGGUUGCAAGCCGUUUUGGUUGGUGUCUGUGCCAGUGCCUGGCCUGGUGCUACCGUUAAUGCCAGCCCUGGCACAGGGACAUGCACAGGUGUGGGAGUGACAAGGGGGACUGGGCACCCCGAGGGCUGUGCCAGGCCAGCACCUCCCACCCCAUGCCUUUGUCCUCAAGAAGGUGGCACACGGACACCGAAAGGGGUUAGAAGAGUUGGGGACACAGUGGUCAUCUGGGGACAUGAAGGACCUCAGCCUAUGGAGGUGAUUUGGGACACUGGUGUGAUUUGAGGACGCUGAGGUGCCCCAGUGCUAUCCCCAGCACUGUUUCCCUGUCCCCACAGUACCUGGCUGUCCUCAACAAGACCCUGGGCCACUACCCCUAUGCUGGCACUGCAGGUGUCACCAGAGAUGGCACCAGGCACAGCACUUCUUCCGCACAGGGGACAUUGACCCUGGUAAUGACACCUUCGACAUUGCCUCCAGCGUCAUCACUGGUGGGGACACUUGGGGUUUGGGUUUUAGAGUUAGGGUUGGGAUUUGAGAUUUGGGAUACUCUAAAGGCAUUUGGGAUGGUCCCAAGAGGUUUAGGAGUAGGGUUUUGGUUUGGGGUUUGGGGUUUGGGUUUGAGGUGCAAGGUUUGGGAUGGUCCUGGAGUAUAUGUGAUUCAGGAUUUGGGAAGUCCCAGGGUUUCUGGGCUCUCAGCAUUCCCUGACCCCAGUCCCAAGCCCACAGAGUGCCUGGGGGUGUACCCUGGAGACCCCCAGCUGCUGGUGCUGGAUUGCACUGACAGCAAUUUCACCCUCCAAUUCCACAGGUAAAUCCCACAAGUCCCACCCAGGGAAGUUUCCCAUCCCUAAAAUCCAAGUGUUGGAUUUGCGACCCCUUUUUCCGAAUUCCUGUGUGGGAUUAUGGGAUGAAAUUUUCCCUUUCCCAGGGUAAUUUUUGGGGAUUUUGUGGCCAAGUUUUCCCUUUCCUGAUGUUUUCUGGGGGAUUUUGGUGCAGAAUUUUUCCUUUUCUAGAAUGUUUUUUUUUUUUUUGUUAUUUUGGGAACUCCUGAGGUUUUUGGGGAUUUCAGGUGGAAUUUUCCAUUAGCAUUGGAUUUUUUGAGAUUUUGGGGUGGAAAUUUUCCUUUUUUUUUUUUUUAGGAUUUUGGGGUGGAAUUUUAAUUUCUGGGGGAUUUUUGGGGUCAAAUUUUUCCUUUUCCAGGUUUUUUUUUGAACUUGGGGAACUCACAGGGUUUUUUGGGGAUUUAUGGGCAGAUUUGUUCUCUUUUUUGGGGAUUUUUUGCGGCGGAGUUUUCCCUUUUGCAUUGGUUUCUUUGGGAUUUUGAGGUGGAUUUUUUCCUAUUUUAUUUUUUAGUGAUUUUGAGGCCUCUUGUAGUGUUUUUUGUCCCCUCAGGCUGAUCAGUGUCAUCAUGGAGUUCCAGCUCAAGGCCAUCAACAUCCAAACGCUACUAAAACAGAAAAUCCCCGACUGCUACACCUUCAGUGAUAUUGCCACCCACCCUGAGCUCUGGUGCCAUCGGCAUCCCCUGGCAGCCGGUCCAGCUCUGAAUCUCUUGGAAGAGGAAAUCCACAGUCCCAGGCCGGGGACUCAAGGGUAUCCAGGAUGAGAAGAGGUGACCGAAGCAUUCCCCAGGUGAUCUUGAUGAUGAAUGUCACCUUAGAAGGUCUGGGCACAGAGAAGAAUGAUCCCUUUCAGGGUUGACCCUAUUUGGACAACCUGCUUCUCACCUCCAACCUCACCAUGUCAGACAUUGCCCACCUGGGACUGACAUCCUAAAACAUAAAAAAA